rnacentral:rRNA from 1 species
CAGGAGGUUGGCUUAGAAGCAGCCACCCUUGAAAGAGUGCGUAAUAGCUCACUGGUCAAGUGAUUGAGCGCCGAUAAUGUAGCGGGGCUAAGUACACCGCCGAAGUUGUGGCAGCAUCACGAUACUGUAAUGGUGUGGUGUUGGGUAGGGGAGCGUCGUGUCGCCAGUGAAGUCGCCGUGUGAACGAGUGGUGGAGGCGUCACGAGUGAGAAUGCAGGCAUGAGUAGCGAAAGACGGGUGAGAAACCCGUCCACCGGAUGACCAAGGGUUCCAGGGCUAGGCUAAUCCGCCCUGGGUAAGUCGGGACCUAAGGCGAGGCCGACAGGCGUAGUCGAUGGACAACCAGUUGAUAUUCUGGUACCGACACACAACCGACAAUACCAAAACACAUGAGACUAACUCCCCGGUCCACCCGUGGCGUCUUCGGAUGUCUGGUUGGUGGGUUGGUGAGGACCUGAGUGUGGAGUCGGUAAGCGUGAGGUGUGACGCAGAAAGGUAGCCAGGCCACGCGAUGGUAGUCGUGGUCUAAGGUCGUAGCAUGUGGGGGUAGGCAAAUCCGUCCCCACACAAGUGUGAGAGCUGAUGGGCGCCCCACAGUGGUGGGGUGAUCUGGUGAUCCUCUGCUGCCGAGAAAAGCAUCGACGUGAGGGUGUGUGUUGCCCGUACCCUAUAACCGACACAGGUGGUCAGGUAGAGAAUACUAAGGUGAUCGAGAGAAUCGUGGUUAAGGAACUCGGCAAAAUGCCCCCGUAACUUCGGGAGAAGGGGGGCCAUCCUGGUGAACGGCCCUUGCGGUUGGGAGCUGGUGGUGGUCGCAGAGGCCAGAGAGAAGCGACUGUUUAUUAAAAACACAGGUCCGUGCGAAGAUGUAAGUCGAUGUAUACGGACUGACGCCUGCCCGGUGCUGGAAGGUUAAGA